CUCAAGAUACCAUCUCCACCGAUUUAAUCCAACACAGGGGAGGAGCAGUUCGUUAAUCCUUCACAUCUAAUUCUUCUUCUUCUUUUUAUCUUUCUUUCUUUUUUCUUUUUUUUCUUUUUUUUUUUUUUUUGCAUGGCUACGAUUAGAACAACAGCACGGUAGAGAUGAGAUGAUCAACUAAGGCUCGGUGCAUGAUAAGGAGGAAUACGUACCCACAACGACUUGCGCAGGUUCUUUGGAAUUGGGAUGUGUUAAUAAAAGCAUCUAUGAGAGGCUAAUUUGACAGAGACAAAAAGGGCGCGAUCGAUCAGAGGCUCAAGAGCCUCGCCCACGUGGGAUUCCCUCCCCUUCAUUCGGACCGUAAACCCGGCCAGGUGCAUGCAAUUGUUGCAAUUGUCCAUUGUCUCAUGGUUGCAUGUAUCUGUACUUCAUCGCAAUAAGGGAGGGUGCUCACUCUGAAACCCUAAUAUAAAUAGGACCCAUGUGGGAGGUGAUCUCCAAUACAAGUUGGUGUGCGAAGAGUAAGCUAAAGAGCAUGGAAUUAAUGGGCUCAUGGAUUAAGCUAGUCCCAUUUUCUAGGGUUUUUGAGAUAGUUGGUUGUUCCCUGGAGUUCCCUCAGACACUUCAUUAAGUAGGGUUCUAUAAUAUACACUGAAAAUAUAAGCCUUAUCUCUACUGAAGUGUUUGGGGGAACUCUGGGUGGCACCCAACCUUCGUAUCGUUAGUGUUAGGGCUCAGUUUUGAUUAUGCAUGCAAAAGAGAUUAUAUAUAUGCAUAUGUGUGUGUGUGUGUGUGUGUGUGUGUGAGAGAGAGAGAGAGAGAGAGAGAGAGAGAGAGAGAGAGAGAGAGAGAGUUUGCAAUUAAUUAAGUUGGUUGUUCCCUGGAGUUCCCUUCAGACACUUCAUUAGGGCUCAUAAGUGUUUGGGCUGUAGUGAAGUGUUUGGGGGAACUCUGGGUGUCACCCAACAACUUGAUCAUGAUGAUGAGCUGGGCCACAAGGGCUCUGAAUUGGUGCAUGCAUGCAGGGUUUAGUAAUAACUAGAAACUGCAGGAAUAUAUGCAAGUAAUUGGUUGUUCCCUGGAGUUCCCUCAUACACUUCAUUAGGUAGGGCUUUUUUUUUUUACCUCCCAGGUGCAAAAGCAAAUGCUACUGAAGUGUUUGGGGGAACUCCAGGGUGCUAUCCAAUAUUGGCUACAGAGGUGAAGCCCCUCUCAACGUGCGGCGACAGAGAUCCUCCUCCAGCCGCUUUCUGAGCUCAUCGUCGAUCGCAGCAACAAAAGUUCCAUUCCUGAAAGAAUGAGGAUUCCGGGUGAUUGAAGGAAGGUGUAUCUCAGCUAAAAGACCUGGACAGUUCCACUAUCAUCACAAACAUUUAUGAACAUCGAUUUAGAGUGUUGAUUGUUGUAAAACUCGUGGCAGUGCACUAGCUAGGAUGCCGAGGAGGUAAUGUGAAAUCAUUUUCCAUUAGAUAUAAAACAGUUAUGCAGAUCUUGUCCGAGCAUGCUUAUGGAAUCUUUGAACAAGCGCCAACUGAGAGACCUUUUUACCUGGUGGAUGUCAAGUGCUGAUUACUUUAUUAGUUUGAUAAUUUCAUUAGACCUUGCAGUCUUUGCUCUCGAUGUGACUUAAAUGACCCUCAAACUGUAAGAUAGUACUUCCACAACUAUCUACUUCUGGUACGCUCAAGCAUCUACCAAACAGCAAAUUAGUGUAACAAUGUCCUUUGGGCCAAGGGAGAAUCCAUUUCAACAGUAAUUAAUUUGCUGGCUUGUUCUUGAUGACGUGGUUAUCUAUCAGUGGUGGACCUCGGCUGCGAACUGCAAGAAGGCGGUUUCGUACAGGCCGAGCAAGGGUAAGUGGUGGCAAGGCUGGUCAGUAGUCUCCGUUUCUCCUAGACUGCCGCAUCCCGAGCAUGCGAAUUCCUUUCUCUACAUACAGGCACUCUCGAGAAACAAUGUGGUUGUGGUGUUCUUUUGUUUAUUUUUCGAGCUUUCGCUUUCUCUGGGCCUGCGCCCCAGGCUUCGGCUGCCUUUAUUCUGUUUUUCGUGUCAUGCGGUGUUGGCCUAAUGGAGCCAUAUAUGCAUAUUUGUAUAUAUCUUUUCCAUUUCCAUUUUAAAAGAUUAUAUAUCUUCGCAGUUGUUGAAUAUAUAUAUAGAAAGAGAGAGUUGUGCUGGAA